rnacentral:rRNA from 1 species
UACGGAGGGUGCGAGCGUUGUCCGGAAUCAUUGGGCGUAAAGGGCGCGUAGGUGGCCCCUCAAGCGUGCGGUGAAAGUCAGGGGCUCAACCCCUGAUCGGCCGUGCGAACUGGGGAGCUUGAGCACUGUAGAGGCAGGCGGAAUUCCGGGUGUAGAGGUGAAAUUCGUAGAUAUUCGGAAGAACACCAGUGGCGAAGGCGACUCGCUGGACAAGUAUUGACGCUGAGGUGCGAAAGCGUGGGGAGCAAACAGG